rnacentral:rRNA from 1 species
GCCUACGGGGGGCAGCAGUGAGGAAUAUUGGUCAAUGGCCGGAAGGCUGAACCAGCCAAGUCGCGUGAGGGACGACUGCCCUAUGGGUUGUAAACCUCUUUUAUAAGGGAAGAAUAAAUGCUACGUGUAGCAUGGUGCCUGUACCUUAUGAAUAAGCAUCGGCUAACUCCGUGCCAGCAGCCGCGGUAAUACGUAUGGUGCAAGUGUUAUCAGGAUUUACUGGGUGUAAGGGGAGCGCAGGCGGCACGGCAAGCCUGAUGU